rnacentral:rRNA from 1 species
UAGGGAAUAUUGGACAAUGAGCGAAAGCUUGAUCCAGCAAUGCCGCGUGUGUGAAGAAGGCCUGCGGGUUGUAAAGCACUUUUCUGACAGAAGAAAGCUCUUAGAUUAAGAGUUAAAGAGUCUGACGGUACGUCAGGAAUAAGCACCGGCUAACUCCGUGCCAGCAGCCGCGGUAAUACGGAGGGUGCAAGCGUUAAUCGGAAUUACUGGGCGUAAAGCGUGCGUAGGCGGCUUUCUAAGUCGGAUGUGAAAUCCCCGGGCUUAACCUGGGACGUGCAUUCGAUACUGGAAGGCUAGAGUUUGAGAGAGGCAGGUAGAAUUUCGGGUGUAGCGGUGAAAUGCGUAGAUAUCCGAAGGAACAUCAGUGGCGAAGGCGACCUGCUGGACCAAAACUGACGCUGAGGUACGAAAGCGUGGGGAGCAAACAGGAUUAGAUACCCGUGUAGUCC